GGUAAUGCGCAGAAGGAGCGGCAGGAUGCGGAAAGGCGUAGGAACACAAAGCACUGUGGGUUGAUUUCUGACGUGCUUUGAGAGUAAAGGCUGUAGCUGCUGUGUUGUUAGAGCCUCGGUUCUUGCUGGCGUUGAAAGAGCGCGGACAAGAUGCCGGAGCGAGAUAGCGAACCGUUCUCCAACCCUUUGGCCCCAGAUGGCCAUGAUGUGGACGAUCCUCAUUCCUUCCACCAGUGAGUUUUUUUAUUUUAAGACCAUUUCCUAAGUUCUCACUCUUACUUGAUUUAUUAAACUUUAUA
rnacentral:lncRNA from 1 species